rnacentral:rRNA from 1 species
UACGUAGGGUGCAAGCGUUAAUCGGAAUUACUGGGCGUAAAGCGUGCGCAGGCGGCGCGUUAAGACAGGUGUGAAAGCCCCGAGCUUAACUUGGGAAUUGCGCUUGUGACUGGCGGGCUGGAGUGUGGCAGAGGGAGGUGGAAUUCCACGUGUAGCAGUGAAAUGCGUAGAGAUGUGGAGGAACACCGAUGGCGAAGGCAGCCUCCUGGGCCAGCACUGACGCUCAUGCACGGAAGCGUGGGGAGCAAACAGG